ensembl:lncRNA
CAGUUCUUCUUGGUCAUCUCUACUAGUUUCGAUUUAUUCCCUAACUUGAGGGAGAUGACUGCAGUAGCUGCUGCAGAGUUGGUGACUGACUUCUUUGGAGGCAAUCUUGUUUAUGUUUGGACACAGAAUCACCACUGCUUCGUGCCUGCUGUUCCUUCUAAUUGCUUCACACUAUCGGCAUAUGACUACACUGUGAGAAACAAAUGCCAAACAGUGAAGGUCAAGAAGGCCAAAGUGAUAUAUGCAAGUUCAAAAAGUAGAAGAAGCUUUUACACAGAGAAAUAUCAACCAGCCAGCUUUUCAUGACUGAUGCAUGAAAAUAUCAUCCACCUUUGUCUCUGAGCAUACUUUGGCUUUGAAUCUUAGUGAUAUUACAUGUAAUGUUGUGGCUAGAUAUUUCAAUUUCAGAAACAAAUGAUUCCACUGAAUAGUAAGACAUUUUCCAACUGGACAGUAAUUCAUAAGGAGAUGGUUCAGAAAUCAUAAGCUUUAUUAUGAAAAGGCAAGGAAAUCCAACCCUAGAUGGAGGUAACUUGGAAAGAGAGAUUGGUUAUUUUGUGUAACUCUAAAGGGAAUAACUAGGACUAAUAAGUCAAAGCUUUUGGAAGAAAAUUUCUAUGUAACAUGCAGAAAUUUCGAACAGUUGAUCAGUUGCUUUUGUUGUUAUUGUUAGAGACAGGAUCUCACUAUGUUGCCCAGGCUUGAUUCUAAGCACCAUUUCCCCCGCCCCCACCCCUGCCCCCAGCUCAAGCAAUCCUCCUGCCUUAGCCUCUUGAGUAGCUGGGACUAUGGGUGCACACCAUGGCACCAGGUACAUUUCUAACAGCUCAAAGUGUUAUAAAGGAAUAGGUCACCUAGUAGCAUGGUCAGUGGUGUCUGUAAGACUUCUCGUCUGUCGGGCUGUGGUAUGGAAUUGAAGUGGAUGAUCACUAAGAAAUGGAGGGAAUGAAUUUCAGAAGGGGUGGGGAGUUGCAGGGUGUUGGUUCAAUAGCUGUCUUAUCAAUGGAGCUGAGAAUGAAAACCUAGGAAAAGUGACAUUGGUGCUAGAAGAGAACUGGGCCAUCCACUUCAUAGACCGUCUGCUAAUUUGUUGCUCAUUUGCUGGUGAAACUUGGGAAGGUAAUGGAUAUGUAUGAGCUCUCUCAAAACUUGCCUUGUUGCCUAAUGAAUAUAUUUGACUUUUCUAACUCCAGGUAUCUUUAAAAGUUCCUAAUUUCCUGAUAGACUUGUAAAACCACGCAAACCCACCAAGCCCUUAUUCUGUUUCCAAGACCACCUUUCAGGUGUGUCACCCUGUUGACAAGUUAUUUGGAACUCUAUUGACCUUGUCUCAUUAUUGGAACUUUUCUAGUAUCUUGAAUGCAGGUGGAAGGAAAGGAGGCAAUAACAAUGAAAAAUAAAACCACAACAGCAUGAUUUAUUAUAGUACAUAUUUCUCAGAAGAGACAAAAACAGUAUCAAUGAAGAGCAAUCAUAGAAGGUUCACAGUUGCCUCAGCACCAACUCAAAAAUUCACAGGGGGUUGGCAUCACAUAAACAGCUGGCGAAAAGCAGUUAAAUGAUUUUCUACAUGCUCUUAGGGAGAGACUGUGUCUAAUCUGAUGCAGUUGCUCCAAAGGAGAGCAGCUAAUGACAUCUACACCAAAUAUCAGUUCAAUAAAUCGCUUCCUUUCAUUAAUCUGAGUGUCGGUAUCUGAAUUAAUGGUGCUAACAGAGCAGAAGGUCUAAAGGAGAGAUAAUAAGGACCUGUUUUUCG